UCCAGACACGCCACCUUUAAGAACUGUAACACUCACUGCGCGGGUCCACGGCUUCAUUCUUGAAAAACACAGUCAUGCUCUGUCGCCUAGGCUGGUCUCAAACACCUAGCUUCAAGCAAUCCUUCCACCUCAGCCUCCCAAAUUGAUGGGAUUACAGGUGUGAGCUACCACACUCAGCCUCUGCUACAUAAUUUAUGUGGAAAAUUCCUCCUUUUUAUUAAUCAAAACCUACACUCAAUAGAUACAUAUUUCUUGGUCAAGCAUCCAUCAUGCACCAUGUACACCACAGUGCACCACAGCUGAGACCAGUGUGGAUCCCACCAUCAGCAGCUUUUCCAAAGGACCCAGGCAAAAUGUGUGGUGUUUCUGAGGGCAUCCUCUUCCACAUUUUUAGCGUAAUCUACCUCGACACACAGAUGCAAUGCUCACAGAGGCCAGAACGCUUCCCAGAAGCAGCCAAGAGUGAGCACUUUCUCAUGGUGUAAAAUAUUCUACCAAAACCUUAUUUCCAAUAGGAGGGUCCAGAUAAUCAAAGCUUCGGAUCUCCUAAAACCUGGCUUUGCCUCUUACUUGAGAACUUUGCAAAGAAGAAUGCUAGCCAGUGAAUGUUCAGAGAGGAAGGAAGAAGAAGCUGUCCAAUGACCUUUUUUCUUAUGGCUUUCUAACUUGAUUCUUGACACUGUCACCAAGGAGUAAUCUGUGGAGAGACAUUUGAUUGAUUAUCUCUGCAAUCCUCCCCUCCCCACUUCCUUCUCUGGCCCCUCCUUGUCCACAUGGGCCUCUGGAGAAACCAGCGAGGGAUGACUGGGGAUAAAGGCUCGUCUCUGGAGAGGGCUGCCAACCUCACCUUGUUCCAAGUCUCCACAAAACACAGCCAACCUUCCAGACACAAAAGAAGCACCUCCUGACUCCAUCUCUUUUCCUUGUUUUCUCUCUUUACAAGCAUAUUGGUAUUUUUUCACAGAGAGAUAAUUCCCAUUCACUUCUAGGAAGAAAAUUUCGCUCUCAAAACUGUUGGUGAGAGACCCCUUGAAGAGAGAACUUCUCUGUUCUUCUGGAGGAGAUGAUUUAGUAAGGCAGUGCUGGAGUUCAAACUGAGCCUCCACAGGCCUAACUUGCUUCACUUUUAAGCUUUUAGGAAGAGAGCUUUUAGAGAGAGAAAAUUGCUUUCCAAAAGGGAACUCUAGAAAGAGGACGAAUGAGCAGGGCUGAAACUUUGAGAGAAAAUGGAAGGAGUUGGAAGAUGGAGGGAGGAACCAAAGUAACUAAUAAGAAUUUCUGGGGCUGGGUGCAGUGGCUCACACUUGAAAUCUCAGCACUUUGGGAGGCUGAAGUCGUGGAUCACAUGAGUCCAGGAAUUCAAGAGCAGCCUGGGCAAUAUGGCAAGACCCCGUCUCUACAAAAAAUACAAAAAUUAGCUGGGCAUGGGGGUGUCUGUAGUCCCAGCUACUCGGGAGGCUGAAGCAGGAAGAUCCCUGGAGCCCAGAGGUUGAGGCUGCAGUGGGCCGUAAUCACGCCACUGCGCUCCAGCCUGGACGGCCAAGUGAGACUAUCUCAAAAAAAAAAAAAGAAUUUAUUAAUUUCUUCUUAUGAAAUAUACAAUAUAGGCCCCCUCUUUUUGCUCCUGUAUGAGAAUGUGAAGAAAAGUCUUUGGCUUGAUGUGCAGUCCUGAUUCCUCUGGAUUCCUUUUGGGAGAGAGGUUAGAACAAGAACUGAGGCCUGGUUCCAGUAAGUGCCUGGAUGCAGGACAGCAGGGUAGCUGACAUCCUGGAUAUGCAAAGUAACAGCAUGGAGAAUAAAGGAGUGAGGAAAAUUAAUAAAACAUGGAAUAUUUUAAUAAGACUGCAAGGAAGCAUACAGAGACACAUGGAAAAUACAAAGAUAGCUGUUUUAUUGUAGCAUGGACAUGGACUUUAUGGCUGGCAAUUUGGGCGUUUCAAGCUCUUUUUGUUGUUUACUUGUGGUACAUGUUUGACAAGUAAUUUCCAUUUUCCAAGUCAUUUUUUUCAUCUGUAAAAUGAGACUAAUUCAAAUAACUUCCCUCGAUAGGUUUCUAUUUUUGGUGAGAAUUGUUUUUUUCUUUUCAUGUAGUAUAUAUUUUAUUAGCUUGUACUAAUACAUUCUCAUAUUACAAAGUCAAUUUAGUGGAAGAAUCUUCCUUCUGAUAUUUGAUUCAUGUGAAAUAACACAAACAGAACUAUACAUUCAAAAAAAUUCUCAUUUAGAUAACAAAAAAAAGACAAGUUAAACAACAAAAAUCUUUUCCUUUCUCACAGGUGGACAUUGAAGUGGACCUAAUUCGGUUUUCCUUUUAAAAGCCCCCACAAACAAAAGUAGUUUGAAACCUAUUUAAAAU
rnacentral:lncRNA from 10 species